AGAAUCAACGCUGGCGGCGUGCCUAACACAUGCAAGUCGAACGAGAAAGUGGAGCAAUCCAUGAGUAAAGUGGCGCACGGGUGAGUAACACGUGACUAACCUACCCUGGAGUGGGGGAUAACUGAGGGAACCUUAGCUAAUACCGCAUAAUACCUACGGGUCAAAGGAGCAAUUCGCUUCAGGGAGGGGUCGCGGCCGAUUAGUUAGUUGGCGGGUAAUCGGCCCACCAAGACAGUGAUCGUA
rnacentral:rRNA from 1 species